rfam:Corchorus olitorius cultivar O-4 contig17600, whole genome shotgun sequence.
UUAGUACUCCCUCCGUCCCUAAAUAACUGUCGUUUUUUUGAAUGAAUCUGGUCCAUUUUAGAGCCAAAUUCAUUAAAAAAAACCGACAGUUAUUUAGGGACGGAGGGAGUAAUUU